AUUGAACGCUGGCGGCAUGCUUAACACACGCAAGUCGAACGGUAACGCGGGGGUAACCCUGGCGACGAGUGGCGGACGGGUGAGUAAUGCUUAGGAAUCUGCCUGAUAGUGGGGGACAACCCGAGGAAACUCGGGCUAAUACCGCAUACGACCUACGGGAGAAAGCGGGGGACCGCAAGGCCUCGCGCUGUUAGAUGAGCCUAAGCCCGAUUAGCUAGUUGGCGGGGUAAUAGCCCACCAAGGCGACGAUCGGUAGCUGGUCUGAGAGGAUGAUCAGCCACACUGGGACUGAGACACGGCCCAGACUCCUACGGGAGGCAGCAGUGGGGAAUAUUGGACAAUGGGCGCAAGCCUGAUCCAGCAAUGCCGCGUGUGUGAAGAAGGCCUGCGGGUUGUAAAGC
rnacentral:rRNA from 1 species